AGUGAACGCUGGCGGUAGACCUAACACAUGCAAGUCGAACGGCAGCACAGUAAGAGCUUGCUCUUACGGGUGGCGAGUGGCGGGCGGGUGAGGAAUACAUCGGAAUCUACUUUUUCGUGGGGGAUAACGUAGGGAAACUUACGCUAAUACCGCAUACGACCUACGGGUGAAAGCAGGGGAUCUUCGGACCUUGCGCGAUUGAAUGAGCCGAUGUCGGAUUAGCUAGUUGGCGGGGUAAAGGCCCACCAAGGCGACGAUCCGUAGCUGGUCUGAGAGGAUGAUCAGCCACACUGGAACUGAGACACGGUCCAGACUCCUACGGGAGGCAGCAGUGGGGAAUAUUGGACAAUGGGCGCAAGCCUGAUCCAGCCAUACCGCGUGGGUGAAGAAGGCCUUCGGGUUGUAAAGCCCUUUUGUUGGGAAAGAAAAGCAGCAGGUUAAUACCCCGCUGUUCUGACGGUACCCAAAAAAUAAGCACCGGCUAACUUCGUG
rnacentral:rRNA from 1 species